AUGAUCCCGGAGCUGACAAAAAUUGCAGCGAUGCUAGAUGAUGUUCAGCUUCAACAUGACCAGCAGGAUGAAAUUAGCUGGCAGCUCUCGCCUGAUUGUGCAUAUUCCGCAUGCUCGGCGUACUUGAUUCAGUUUGAGGGAUCAACCCCCCUGGAGGGAUACCAACUCAUUUGGUCGGCCUGGGCUCCGGGGCAAUGUUGUUGUUUUUUCAUUUGGACUGCCAUCUUAGGGAAGAUCCUGACAGCUGAUGCCUCUCUGCUGCGUAGGCUCGCCGUUAGUCGACGGCUCGACGCAGCCACGCGGCUGCUGGGUAGGACAGGACCAUUUUUGGUAGCGAUCCUUCCUUCCUACUUGUUCAUUGUACAAUGUUGUUCCUUAGUUGAUAAAUUUUAG
rnacentral:rRNA from 1 species